rnacentral:lncRNA from 1 species
CAGUACAGGCUUGUGUGUGUUCCAGGGCAGGGCUGUAGAAAUGGAAAAUAUAUGGUCUUCCCCACUCCUUUCCAAGAAACCACACUGGGCCAGGCACGGUGGCUCAUGCCUGUAAUCCCAGCACUGUGGGAGGCCGAGGAGGGAGGAUCACUUGAGCCCAGGAGUUUGAGACCAGCCUGGACACUAUGACGAGACAUCAGAAAAAGAAAAAGAAAAAAAAAAAUCUGGGUGCUGGGGCCUGUGCCUGUAGUUCUAGCUACUCGGGUGGCUGAGGUGGGAGGAUUGCUUCAGCCUGGGAGGUGGAGGUUGCAGUGAGCUGAGAUUGCACCACUGCUCUCCAGCUUGGGCAACCAGAGCGAGACCCUGUUUCAAAAAACAAAUAAACAAACAAAAUCCAGACUGCUCUUCUAGACUGUCCAGAAAGUGACUUCUUGGAUAAACCCUUUCCUAUCUCUCACUGCUUUGUGC